rnacentral:lncRNA from 1 species
AUUUGAAGACCAGGUUUUCCGACCUUGGAGAUAGAUGAGACAGGAGCCAUGUGCCCUGAAAUGUUCGGAGCAAAACUCUACCAGCUACAACAUUUGAGGGACAUGUUCUCUUCCAGACCCAUCAGAGGGAGCAGAGCAGUGAGACUUCCAACCUUGAAUCACCUGAGAUGUUUUAAGCCAAAUUUGUGGAAAUGUGUUAUGUAGCAAUCAAUGAAAGAGGAUAGGCAUGGACAUCGAGAGAGCUGGACCAGUGGACUCCUGACUUGAUUUUUCCUAGACUGCUGUGUUGGAGAAUGCAACCAUGCUUAGUGAUGGGAAUGUGAGUCUCCUGAACACAGCAGGGAUGCUACAAUGUUUACAGAGGAGGGACCCUGCAGGCUGUCACAGCAGGCCAGAAGUGAACCGCCAAGAGGUGAGAAAGAAAACUAUGUUCAGAUUGACUGCAUCGACCUGGACCAAGACUUCAGGGAGUCUGAUAGCAGCCAGUUCACUGUCAGCAGAUUUAAAACAAGUACGACUUGCAAAAAAGAACGUUUCCUGGUGUAAUAUAAUCUCCAGUGCACAAUGAAGCAUAGUUGCACUGAAACUUAGGAUAUAUGCCAUGUCUUAAAGGAGAUGGGUUCUAUCUAGCUUGACAACCUAAAGAAGAGCCUGGUCUUGGUCAUAAGAUAGUAUAGAGGUCAUUUAGAUUACUAGCCACCUCCAGUCCUGGUGUGGGCACUUGAGAUGGCCUGGCCAGAUAGAUAACACAGACCACCAGGCUGUUAAUCACGUCAACCCCCAACUUUCUGGAUGGAAGAACAGGCUUUUUACAUCUUUCCCACUGGAAAGAUGAUCCUGUGUGCUUAACCUUUCUUAUUUCUCUGGAGAUCUGUGGGCACAAGGACCUUUGUGUUGUGCUGCCAAUAGAAAGUAUUAGCCUCGGUCUACACAAGAACAAAAUGAAGUUCAUGGCUGUGGGAACAGGACUUAUUCAAAGUCCCUGAAGCUGACAACAGCCUUCCAUGUCCAAAUCCAUUGCCUUCCACCCAUCUCUGAAUCACAGGGUUUUCUCAGACUUUAUUUUACUCUGUGGUUCUAGGACUCGAACCCAGGGUCUCACACAUGCUGAUCACAGCAAAAGCCCUGCAAGGUCGAGGUUCUCAUCAGCACUCCUCUGUGACAAACUUUCUUGUUGGACUAUCUCCAAUAAGAAUAUGGAGACUUAUAAUAAUUAUGAAAGUUUGGCCUUAGCUUAUAGCUUAGGCUUUUUUUCCAACUAGCUUUUAUAAGUUAGAUUAACCUGUCUCUUUUAAUCUACACUCUAUCUUGUGGUUCAGUCACCUCUGCUGUAUACCAUAUGUCUGACUUCUUCAGAGUCU